rnacentral:hammerhead_ribozyme from 1 species
AUCCAACUGACGAGUCCCAAACAGGACGAAAUGCGCUUUAUCCUGGAU